rnacentral:lncRNA from 10 species
AGAGAAGCAUUGCUGGCUGAGAUGGGGGUGGCCGUCCGGGAGGAUGGGGGAACUGUGGGCGUCUUCUCUCCAAAGAAGGGAUAGAUUGCUUUCUGCUUCCGGAGCCCAUCAGCGUUUGCCAGUCCCAGAGCAGGCCUGACACUGCAGUGUAGGGAGGGGCAUGGGAGUCCCUCAGGAGAAGUGUCGCAGGAGUGAUCCUUGGAGCACUUGGGUGAAGGGCGGAUGCACAAGAUACACAGACACCUCUGGGGGACACAGCUUUGGGCUCUGAGUGUUAAGUGGCUCCCAGAGAAAUAGAGGUUCGACUCCGUGCUGUUUCCCUUCUGUACCCUGUGCUUUCUGCCUCCAUGCUUCUGUCCAGGCUGCUUUCACCCGGAGCGCUCUUGUGCAUGUCCACGCCCUCCUUGUCCUCAAAGGCUGGCUCCCAUGUUACCCUUCCAUUAAGUCCUCCUGAUCCCCUUGAAAUCCCAUAGUUCUUCACUUUGUUCCUCUUUGCAUGUGAGUCCCUCCCAGAACACAGUGGCACUCAACCCCCUGGGAACAAAUGAAUGAAUAAACGAACUUAAACAAGGGCAUGAGACAAUCAGAAA